rnacentral:rRNA from 1 species
CCUGACCUGCAUUCGAUACGGUCGAGCUAGAGUGUGGUAGGGGAGACUGGAAUUCCUGGUGUAGCGGUGGAAUGCGCGGAUAUCAGGAGGAACACCGAUGGCGAAGGCAGGUCUCUGGGCCAUUACUGACACUGAGGAGCGAAAGCGUGGGGAGCGAACAGGAUUAGAUACCCUGGUAGUCCACGCCGUAAACGGUGGGCGCUAGUUGUGCGAACCUUCCACGGUUUGUGCGACGCAGCUAACGCAUUAAGCGCCCCGCCUGGGGAGUACGAUCGCAAGAUUAAAACUCAAAGGAAUUGACGGGGCCCCGCACAAGCAGCGGAGCAUGCGGCUUAAUUCGACGCAACGCGAAGAACCUUACCAAGGCUUGACAUAUACAGGAAUACGGCAGAGAUGUCGUAGCCGCAAGGUCUGUAUACAGGUGGUGCAUGGUUGUCGUCAGCUCGUGUCGUGAGAUGUUGGGUUAAGUCCCGCAACGAGCGCAACCCUCGUUCUGUGUUGCCAGCAUUUAGUUGGGGACUCACAGGAGACUGCCGGGGUUAACUCGGAGGAAGGUGGGGAUGACGUCAAAUCAUCAUGCCCCUUAUGUCUUGGGCUGCACGCAUGCUACAAUGGCUGGUACAAACGGCUGCAAUACCGCAAGGUGGAGCGAAUCCGAGAAAGCCAGUCUCAGUUCGGAUUGGGGUCUGCAACUCGACCCCAUGAAGUCGGAGUUGCUAGUAAUCGUAGAUCAGCAACGCUACGGUGAAUACGUUCCCGGGGCUUGUACACACCGCCCGUCACGUCACGAAAGUCGGUAACACCCAAAGUCAGUGGCCCAACCGUAAGGA